ACUUAGCAUAAUAUCCUCAAGAUUCAUCCAAGUUGUACUAGGUUCCCUUUUAACACUGAGUGAAUAUUCCAUUGCGUGUACAUGAUCAUUUUUAAUUUUUCCAUUCAUCUUUUGGUGGACACCCGAAUAACUUCCACCUUUGGCUAUUGGAAACAAUGAACAAGGGUUUAUCAGUGUGUCUUUGGAACCCUGAUUUCAAUUCUUUGGGGCAUACACCCAGAAAUGGAAUUGCUGGAUCAUCUGACAAUUUCAUUUUUAAUUUUUCUGAGGAAGAGCCGUGCUGGAUUUCCACAACUAGUGUAAAUAGUAUUUUUGUGUGUGUGUGUGCCACGUGGAGAUAGAACCAAGGGCCUCGGGCAUGCUCCACAAGUGCUCCACCGCUGAAUUACACACCCCAUCUCUAUUGAUAUAUUUUUUUAACAAGCAUCUAGUGUUGUAAGGAGUUACAAUUUACUCAGGUUUUGCUUGUGUAUUUCACAGUACCUCCUAUUGUUCCAGUCCCAUUAUCAGCAGGGCAGCAUUUUGUAAGAUUAUUGACUGCAGUAGAACAUUUCUUUUUAAAAGUUCAACCAAAACCUCUGCCGAGCACAUUUGUGGAAAUCAUGCCAGUUCGGUGAUUCUAGUCCCCCCUGGGGACCUGGCUCACGGCUCUGUUUUGAAUGCUCUACUAAGUUUCAUGCUCUGUAGGUCCAGAUACCUGAGAGAAGAUGCCUUCCGAGUCCUGGAGUUGGGCCUAUUCACAUGGGUGAGCAACUUGUAACACCACACACUCCCCACCAUGAUGUGCUGUCCCAAAGAAAUAGGACCAUCUAAUCAUGGACUGAAACCUCUAAAACUGGAAAAUUCUUACACUUGUCAGAACCUGACGUCGGGGCCCAAGAGACAAAGGAAAUGCUGAACCCAGCAAGAAUUCUGCAGCUGACCCUCGGCCAGCAGUGGAGGAGGUCUUCAAAGCAUGGGGUGUCAGAGGGGAGCAUCUUGCAAUGAGAUCGGGUUUCUUACACAACCACCAGAGGACCCUGAACAGUUCCUGAAACUGUUCCUACUCAGUAAAAAGUACUUUACACUGAGCAGAAGCCACAGCUUAAAGGUACAAGGACUAACUGUGGUGCCUUCUCCUUAGUCUCCAGAGGGCUCUUUUUAUCCCCAGGAGAUAUGGACGUGGAAAGACACUGGCCAGGGAAUGAAUGAGUGAUUGAAGAAUAAAUGAACUGCACAGAGAAGCUGAAGCCAGAAGCUGACCUUUGUUCUUCGUUUCAUUGUUAAGCCACCCAAUUGUUUUAUAGUUGUUCUUUGCUGACCCUUGGCCUCCUUGGCUGGUGGUGUCACCUCCCUCCUUUCUCCUAUCCAGCCCCAUUCUGCAUUCCUGAAUUUAUUUGUGGGUGGAUCCACUCCACCUUGGAAAUGGGGUGACACCCUUGCUCCUUGGGUGUAGCCUUGGGACUCCUUGCAAAAAACCCCUUCCUUUUCCUGUGUCCCACACUCCUGGGACUUCCUGAAUCGGUGACCUUUGGGCCCUUCUUGAGCCUGUCCAACCUCUACAGGGAGAAGGGUCCCUUUCUGCACGUUUCUGCUGAUCCCGAGUCCUGCAGCCUAUACUGACACAGAUUUCAUACACAUGGAGAGACUCCGAUAGCUGGCAAACCGUAGGCGAUCACUUAUUCACUUCUCGGCUUGUAAUCUAUUUGGAGACGGUG